rnacentral:rRNA from 1 species
GACGAACGCUGGCGGCGUGCUUAACACAUGCAAGUCGAACGGAAAGGCCCUGCUUUUGUGGGGUGCUCGAGUGGCGAACGGGUGAGUAACACGUGAGUAACCUGCCCUUGACUUUGGGAUAACUUCAGGAAACUGGGGCUAAUACCGGAUAGGAGCUCCUGCUGCAUGGUGGGGGUUGGAAAGUUUCGGCGGUUGGGGAUGGACUCGCGGCUUAUCAGCUUGUUGGUGGGGUAGUGGCUUACCAAGGCUUUGACGGGUAGCCGGCCUGAGAGGGUGAACGGCCACAUUGGGACUGAGAUACGGCCCAGACUCCUACGGGAGGCAGCAGUGGGGAAUAUUGCACAAUGGGCGGAAGCCUGAUGCAGCAACGCCGCGUGCGGGAUGACGGCCUUCGUGUUGUAAACCGCUUUCGCCUGUGACGAAGCGUGAGUGACGGUAAUGGGUAAAGAAGCACCGGCUAACUACGUG